AACGAACGCUGGCGGCAGGCUUAACACAUGCAAGUCGAGCGCCCCGCAAGGGGAGCGGCAGACGGGGGAGUAACGCGUGGGAAUCUACCCAUCUCUACGGAAUAACGCAUGGAAACGUGUGCUAAUACCGUAUACGUCCUUCGGGAGAAAGAUUUAUCGGAGAUGGAUGAGCCCGCGUUGGAUUAGCUAGUUGGUGGGGUAAAGGCCUACCAAGGCGACGAUCCAUAGCUGGUCUGAGAGGAUGAUCAGCCACACUGGGACUGAGACACGGCCCAGAAUACUACGGGAGGCAGCAGUGGGGAGUAUUGGACAAGGGGCGCAAGCCUGAUCCAGCCAUGCCGCGUGAGUGAUGAAGGCCCUAGGGUUGUAAAGCUCUUUCACCGGUGAAGAUAAUGACGGUAACCGGAGAAGAAGACCCGGCUAACUUCGUGCCAGCCGCCGCAGUAACAC
rnacentral:rRNA from 1 species